rnacentral:rRNA from 1 species
GUGCCAGCCGCGCGGUAAUACGGAGGGUGCAAGCGUUGUCCGGAAUCACUGGGCGUAAAGGGUGCGCAGGCGGCCUGGCAUGUCCGAUGUGAAAGCCCGGGGCUCAACCCCGGAAUCGCAUUGGAAACUGUCAGGCUUGAGUCCGAGGGGGGCCAGUGGAAUUCCUGGUGUAGGGGUGAAAUCUGUAGAGAUCAGGAGGAACACCGGCGGCGAAAGCGACUGGCUGGAUCGGGACUGACGCUGAGGCACGAAAGCGUGGGCAGCGAACAGGAUUAGAAACCCGAGUAGUCC